ACGGGAGGCAGCAGUGGGGAAUAUUGGGCAAUGGGCGAAAGCCUGACCCAGCAACGCCGCGUGAAGGAAGACGGUUUUCGGAUUGUAAACUUCUUUUAUCAGGGACGAAGGAAGUGACGGUACCUGAUGAAUAAGCCACGGCCAACUACGUGCCAGCAGCCGCGGUAAUACGUAGGUGGCAAGCGUUAUCCGGAUUUACUGGGUGUAAAGGGCGCGUAGGCGGGGAUGCAAGUCAGAUGUGAAAUCCAUGGGCUUAACCCAUGAAAUGCAUUUGAAACUGUAUCUCUUGAGUGUCGGAGAGGUAGACGGAAUUCCUAGUGUAGCGGUGAAAUGCGUAGAUAUUAGGAGGAACACCAGUGGCGAAGGCGGUCUACUGGAUGAUAACUGACGCUGAGGCGCGAAAGCGUGGGGAGCAAACAGGAUUAGAUACCCUGGUA
rnacentral:rRNA from 1 species